rnacentral:misc_RNA from 1 species
AACAAGGUUCUCCUCUCUCUCUCUUCUGUAAAUGCAUGUUCUUUUCAUUUAUCUUGCAGACUCUGAAAACCUGUUUUCGUAUAAUGCAUUCAUCCAUGUAAAUCUCCUACAUUGUCUGCUGACAAGCCUAGAUGACCAACAAGGAGGGGGAAAAAGUAAGAGAGCAAAAAGGGGGAAAAGAAGAGGCAAAAUUCACUUCUGUCAUUUAUGAAGCUGAAUUCAAAUAUGUCUUCAUUGGAUUAUUUAUUUUUCUUUUUAGUUCUUCCAUGU